rnacentral:rRNA from 1 species
CCUACGGGUGGCUGCAGUGAGGAAUAUUGGUCAAUGGACGAGAGUCUGAACCAGCCACGUCGCGUGAAGGAUGACUGCCCUAUGGGUUGUAAACUUCUUUUUUAUGGGAAUAAAAUGUUCCACGUGUGGGAUUUUGUAUGUACCAUAUGAAUAAGGAUCGGCUAACUCCGUGCCAGCAGCCGCGGUAAUACGGAGGAUCCGAGCGUUAUCCGGAUUUAUUGGGAUUAAAGGGAGCGUAGGUGGAUUGUUAAGUCAGUUGUGAAAGUUUGCGGCUCAACCGUAAAAUUGCAGUUGAAACUGGCAGUCUUGAGUACAGUAGAGGUGGGCGGAAUUCGUGGUGUAGCGGUGAAAUGCUUAGAUAUCACGAAGAACUCCGAUUGCGAAGGCAGUUCACUGGACUGCAACUGACACUGAGGCUCGAAAGUGUGGGUAUCAAACAGGAUUAGAUACCCCAGUAGUC